rnacentral:rRNA from 1 species
UUAUCUGAACCUUCGGGGGACGAUAACGGCGUCGAGCGGCGGACGGGUGAGUAAUGCCUAGGAAAUUGCCCUGAUGUGGGGGAUAACCAUUGGAAACGAUGGCUAAUACCGCAUGAUGCCUACGGGCCAAAGAGGGGGACCUUCGGGCCUCUCGCGUCAGGAUAUGCCUAGGUGGGAUUAGCUAGUUGGUGAGGUAAGGGCUCACCAAGGCGACGAUCCCUAGCUGGUCUGAGAGGAUGAUCAGCCACACUGGAACUGAGACACGGUCCAGACUCCUACGGGAGGCAGCAGUGGGGAAUAUUGCACAAUGGGCGCAAGCCUGAUGCAGCCAUGCCGCGUGUGUGAAGAAGGCCUUCGGGUUGUAAAGCACUUUCAGUCGUGAGGAAGG